GGACCCGUAGCUUAGCUGGUUUAAAGCGCCUCCCUGUCACGGAGGAGACCGCCGGUUCGAAUCCGGUCGGGUCCG
rnacentral:tRNA from 1 species